rnacentral:miRNA from 1 species
UGUAUAUGUAUAUGUGUGUGUGUGUAUAUCUAUAUAUGUAUAUACACACACACAUAUACAUAUAUG